rnacentral:rRNA from 1 species
GUGGGGAAUCUUGCGCAAUGGGCGAAAGCCUGACGCAGCAACGCCGCGUGAGCGAAGAAGGCCUUCGGGUUGUAAAGCUCUGUCAGGGGGAAAGAAGGCACCUGGGUUAAUAGCCCAAGGGCUGACGGUACCCCCAAAGGAAGCCACGGCUAACUACGUGCCAGCAGCAGCGGUAAUACGUAGGUGGCAAGCGUUGUCCGGAAUCAUUGGGCGUAAAGAGCGCGUAGGUGGCUUGUCAGGUCUGAUGUGAAAUCCUGGGGCUCAACCCCAGGCCUGCAUCAGAAACCGGCUUGCUAGAGUCUGGGAGAGGAGAGUGGAAUUCCUGGUGUAGCGGUGAAAUGCGUAGAUAUUAGGAGGAACACCAGUGGCGAAGGCGACUUUCUGGACUGAACCUGACGCUGAGGCGCGAAAGCAUGGGGAGCGAACGGGAUUAGAAACCCUUGUAGUCC